CAAUGGUAAAACGGCAUUACAUGCGGCAGCAAUGAACUGGAACAUACGUAGAGUGACUAUUAUAGAGAAGUUAUUGGCGAAAUGGAGUAGCUUGGCUAAAAAUAUAGAUGAAGAAGGAUGGACUCCACUCCACUAUGCUGCGUAUAAACAUCGUACUCCAGUGGUCAAAAGGCUAUUAGUUGAGGAUGAAUCUUGUGCUUAUGUUGCAGAUAAAAAAUGGAAGAGGACAGCUCUUCACAUUGCAGCCUGUAGAGGCUUCGAAGUUACAGUGGAAACGAUCAUUUCUAAAUGCCCAAGUUGCUGCGAACUUACUGACAUUAGAGGCUGGAAUGUUCUUCAUUAUGCAGUGAUCAGCAAAAGUGAUGAAGUACUGAAAGAAGUGCUCAAAUAUUCAUCAUUGAUUUAUCUUUUAAAUGAGAAAGAUGUUAAAGGAAAUACGCCUGUCCAUUUAUAUAAGGCUUGCCAUCCUCGUUUGCCUCCUUUCAUGCGACAUGGAGAUACUGAUAUGUUCAACCAUUGGAGAACAUUGCACAAGCAAAUUCAAACGGAAGGAGACUUUUCAUCAAAAAAGAACGAAAUUUUAGCGUGGAUGGAAGACCUUGGCACUGGACCAUUGGGGAAAAUUGAAAUGCGAAACAGAGAAAGAGCAGAGACAAAAGAAACUAUAAUACUUAAAUUUGAAAAGGUCAAAGACUCUCAUUUGGUAGCUGCAGCACUUAUAGCAACAGUACCU
rnacentral:misc_RNA from 1 species